UACAGAGGGUGCGAGCGUUAAUCGGAAUUACUGGGCGUAAAGCGUGCGCAGGCUGUUUUGUAAGUCAGAUGUGAAAUCCCCGAGCUCAACUUGGGAACUGCGUUUGAAACUACAAGACUAGAAUAUGUCAGAGGGGGGUAGAAUUCCACGUGUAGCAGUGAAAUGCGUAGAGAUGUGGAGGAAUACCAAUGGCGAAGGCAGCCCCCUGGGAUAAUAUUGACGCUCAUGCACGAAAGCGUGGGGAGCAAACAGG
rnacentral:rRNA from 1 species